rnacentral:rRNA from 1 species
GAUGAACGCUGGCGGCGUGCCUAAUACAUGCAAGUCGAGCGAACUGAUUAGAAGCUUGCUUCUAUGACGUUAGCGGCGGACGGGUGAGUAACACGUGGGCAACCUGCCUGUAAGACUGGGAUAACUUCGGGAAACCGAAGCUAAUACCGGAUAGGAUCAUCUCCUUCAUGGGAGAUGAUUGAAAGAUGGUUUCGGCUAUCACUUACAGAUGGGCCCGCGGUGCAUUAGCUAGUUGGUGAGGUAACGGCUCACCAAGGCAACGAUGCAUAGCCGACCUGAGAGGGGGAUCGGCCACACUGGGACUGAGACACGGCCCAGACUCCUACGGGAGGCAGCAGGAGGGAAUCCUCCGCAAUGGACGAAAGUCUGACGGAGCAACGCCGCGUGAGUGAUGAAGGCUUUCGGGUCGUAAGACUCUGUUGUUAGGGAAGAACAAGUACAAGAGUAACUGCUUGUACCUUGACGGUACCUAACCAGAAAGCCACGGCUAACUACGUGCCAGCCGCCGCAGUAACAC